rnacentral:snRNA from 1 species
AUUGCUUCUCAGCCUUUUGGCUAAGAUGAAGUGUAAAGUGUAUUUUUAU